GGAUUUAUUGGAUCUUGUUGAACCUAUUGAUACUGUCAAAUGGUUCUGUUUUGCCUGUCGUAUCGAUAGGUUCCUUAGAACAAACUCCACAGUCAUUUUACCGUCUCAACUAUGUUGCCUUCCAUGUGUCUUCUUUAUUGCUUUUAUUGCUUCCACUUCUUUGUUGCCUAAACGAUAUAUCUCUUUCUCUAGCCACUCCAUCAAAGUAUAUGUCCAUCAUAUCUUCCUCAUCUUCAUCAAGAGAAUCCUCGUCUAAAUUAAGAAUAUUGGCUUCCUCAUCUUCAUCAAGAGAAUCCUCCCCCAAAUCAAAUGUAUUUGAAACUAAGACCUUGACUCAUUCUUCUUUGCAAUCACCCAUUUAGGCACAAAUACGGAAGCUUGUGGACUUAAUUUUCUAUUCAAAGUAGGCGGAGGAAGAUGUGGACCACUUCAGUGCCUCUGGGGAAUUUGCAAAAACGAUUUGGUCAUCUCUUUGUGGUUCACUGGGGAUCAUGUUAGAUAAUAUCCCCAUUAGAAUGAUAAUCAAGUUUUGGUGGACUUGGAAAAAUAAGAACCCAGUUCUGGACAGGUUAUGAAAUGCCUUCAUGCUAUCACCUUGUGGGAGGUGUGGACAACAAGAUGUGGAGUCAAAUACGACAAGGAGAUCUACAACACAAGUAAAACUAUUAACAAUAUUUCUACUAGCCUGGUCCUGAUUCUCAAAGGACACUUUGAGAUAAUUAAGCUUGACCCUACCUGGGACUCAAUCUGUCACUUGUUAACAAGCAACAUCUACACAAAAAAAUUAUUUAAGUCAAGUAGUUGAAUCACUCUAACAGUUUUGUGAAGAUCAAUUUCGAUGGAAGCUUUAAGGAGGGCUACUGUGGAAGAGGUGGAAUGACCAGAGAUCAUUGUGGUCAUGUGGUGUGAUGCUCCUGUGUCUAUGAUCCAAGAGUCAACAUUCAAUUUUACACAUUUACAAGAAAGAUCACCAACAUCAGUAAUAGAGGAGUAACAAGCAAGUAUACCUGCCAGAUUCACAGCUCCAUUCAACAUUAUGUAUGAGUUGUCUGAGUCAGAAGCUCCCAUUUUAACUUGCAGAGUCCUUAAAUGGUUAAGCAAUUGUUUAUAUUGUUCUUUGGAUAGGUUCAAUGGCAUUUGCCUCUUUAAUUCAGGUCCAUCCUUAGCCUAAUGCACAUUCAUAUCAGAUGCACACACAUGUGAUGUAGAACCUGUGCCUUUUCCCUUUUGAACCAUUGAAUUGGAUGGAUACCCAUGAAGCUUGUAACAUCUAUCCUUUGUGUGCGUGAUAUCUUGCAGUAAUCACAAAACAAAGAUGACCUGCCAGUACUGGAGUUGCCCCUAAUCAUAACAUUUGUGUUUGUAUUUGCAGAACUAGUUCCAUUAUCUCUAGAUGAAUUGUAGUUAGUUCUGAACCCUUUACAUUCUGCAUUAUUGUUGGUCUGGCCAUAGGCAUUCAGUGAGGUAGAAUCUAAGUCUGUAUGAUUGUGAGGUCUCACUUCUCUUUGUUUUUCCUUUUGGGACAAGAUGGCAAAAGCUUGAGCGAUGCUAGGAAGUAUAUUGAUCAUGAGAA